rnacentral:rRNA from 1 species
AUUGAACGCUGGCGGCAGGCCUAACACAUGCAAGUCGAGCGAGCGGCGGACGGGUGAGUAAUGUAUGGGAAUCUGCCUGAUGGCGGGGGAUAACUACUGGAAACGGUAGCUAAUACCGCAUACCAUCAUAUGCACCCAUAUGGGAUUAGCUAGUAGGUGAGUUAACGGCUUACCUAGGCGACGAUCCCUAGCUGGUCUGAGAGGAUGAGCAGCCACACUGGGACUGAGACACGGCCCAGACUCCGACGGGAGGUAGCAGUGGGGAAUAUUGCACAAUGGGCGCAAGCCUGAUGAAGCCAUGCCGCGUGUAUGAAGAAGGCCUUCGGGUUGUAAAGUACUUUCAGUCGGGAGGCGUUACCGACAGAAGAAGCACCGGCUAACUCCGUGCCAGCCGCCGCGGUAAUUC